rnacentral:rRNA from 1 species
CUAUCAAUUCUAAAGGUAUCUGGAAUAAUUUUAAAUGUAUUUAGUACAGAAUAAAUUUUAAAUAAAGAAAUGUUAAGAUUUCAUUAAUUAUAGAAUAUUAAAUAUAAUUUAAAUAUGAAUUAAUCUUCCAACAUAUAAAUUUAAUAAUAAUAAUUUAUUUAAUAUAUCUUUAUAUUAAAAUUAUUUUUUCUACAACUAACUAGAAAAUUAAUAAUGUUAAAAUUAGUAAUUUUUAAUAUUUUGUGUUAAGGAACUCGGCAAUUUAUUAUUCAACUGUUUAUCAAAAACAUAGUCUUAUGUAUUAUAUAUAAGGUGAAACCUGCCCAUUGAUUUUCAUAAUUUAACGGCCGCAGUACCUUGACUGUGCUAAGGUAGCAUAAUAAAUUGACUCUUAAUUGGGGCCUUGAAUGAAUGGAUUAAUGAAUAAUUUCUGUCUUAAUAAAAUUAAAGUUAAAUUACUUAAAAGGUGAAAAUUCCUUUAAUUUAUAUAAUAGACGAGAAGACCCUAGGAGUUUUAUUUUUGUUGGGGCGACAGUAUAACAUUAUAACUUAUACAUUAUAAAUAAUUAUUAAACGAAUUAUUUUAAUAAUAAAGAAACUACCCUAGGGAUAACAGCAUAAUUUUUAAAAAGUUUGUGACCUCGAUGU